AAGGUAAACUUUUGGAUGAGUGGCGCCGGAGAUGUGAAAAUGAAGAGGUGCAAGGAGAGCAAGCAGGAGGCGGCAAUGCGGCGUGUAAUUCUCGGAAGCCAAACAGGAAAUAUGAGACGCGUAUGCUAUUUUUGCCAAGAGGAGAGACAUAUUCGUCAGUACUGUGAGAAGUUAGCAGCGGCCGGCGAGCUCAAUGGGAAAGACAGCGACGUGAAGGUGAUUCACGCAGAAAUGGAAGCGAUGGAAACAACUGGCUUCAGGAUGUGAUCGGAACUAAAACCACGACAAAACGGCACAGCAAGUGGGGCAAUAGAUUGCUGCUCGGUCGAAACGGAAGCGGUGACGAAACGCAUGACGGCAAGGCGACCAGUAUGCUCUAAAAUCAAGUUUGCCUUGGACGCAAGUCAGGACAGAAUACCAGAGGUCCUAAUGAAACCGAGUACGAUACUACACUAUGACUCUUGGAGAAUACGUCGUUAUUAAUCCCUGAAGCAUGAGAUGCAUAGUAAAAUCCAUUCUGACUGAAAUUACCGACUAUGGAAGAAAUAUGUAGUUAACAAAUAACGUCCUUUCAGGAUGCAGACAACCCGUGUUGUUAAUUAGUGUACAUUUGCUAGGAUGGAAGGAACAUACCAAUUAAGUAUUAACAUCGUACUAUGCUCACAGGGCUGAUAGCGAGUCACUUAUUAGUGACUUGGUAAAUUUUCGGACCUGGCCACUAAAAAGUCACUAGUAACUUUUUUCAUUAAAAAAAUGGUAACUAAAGUCACAAUUUUCGUGGUCUGAUAAUGAAUAAACGAUAAUCUGGAUCAGCUUCUUAAGCUUUUUGUUAUUCUAAUGCAAACAUUCUUUGCUAACUAUCUGCUAGAUUCAGGUGAAUGUUGCGCAGACAUUUUUGACAGAAUAUCUGGAAUUUAUUUGUUGGGUUUUGUUAAUAAGUUCUAGGUAUUUUUUGAAAGUUAAGUGUCAUCAUAAUUUCUGACCACCAUAAUGAGCUUAUUUAGUGGUAAUAUCUGAUGAAAUCAUUAGAGAAUAGCCCGAAGGGAUUUUGACCUACUUUUUGAAGGAAACUCAACAGAAAGUAAUUCAUGAAAGAAGCCUUACACUUCA
rnacentral:lncRNA from 1 species